rnacentral:misc_RNA from 1 species
UCCGGCUUGGCGCCGGCAGUUCCUCUAGAGUGCCCAACUAAAUGCUGGCAACUAGAAGCGAGGGUUGCGCUCGUUGCGGGACUUAACCCAACAUUUCACGACACGAGCUGACGACAGCCAUGCACCACCUGCGUGGAACCCCGAAGGACACCGUAUCUCUACGGCUUUUCUCCACAUGUCAAGCCUUGGUAAGGUUCUUCGCGUUGCGUCGAAUUAAACCACAUGCUCCACCGCUUGUGCGGGUCCCCGUCAAUUCCUUUGAGUUUCAGUCUUGCGACCGUACUCCCCAGGCGGAAUGCUUAAAGCGUUAGCGACGGCACCCGGGGACUAUAUAACCCCAGACACCAAGCAUUCAUCGUUUAAGGCUAGGACUAC